UUCUAGCUUCCGAGCCAUUGCUAAAAACCAAUCAUUUUAAUGAUUUAAAAUUUCUAAAUUUCUCCAUUUAAAAAAUAUAGCUGCAAAAAAGUCAACAUAUUAUUUUAGUAAUUCGACAACAAUCAUGAAUUCGCGAAUGAAAAUAUAAGGAGAUAUUUGAUUUUUUAAAUAUUGAUGUGGUCCAAAUUUGAUCAUCCAACCCUAGAUUACCAUAUGGCAUUGAAAGAAAUCUAUUUUAGUCGAACUUAGAUUUCUGAUUCGAUUCUUAUAAGAAAAGUCUAAAGUUAGACUUCAACUUGGCUCAGAACUCCAACUGUACUUCGAUAGAAUGAAAACUCAUCUAUUAAAACAAACUGUAAGAUACCAGAUAGAUACGGUACACACAACAUAUGUACUCUCUGCUUUUUUUUCUUUUUAUUUUACAUUACCCCGAGUAUUCUCUUUUUUUUUUCUCCACUGUUCUCCAAGACUCUUUCCCCUAACUUAAAUACCAGAAGGCCCCCAGCCUGAUCAACUCCAACAACCUUCGAUCUUCUCUUCUUUUCCC
rnacentral:lncRNA from 1 species